AUUGACAGCUGGCGGCAGGCCUAACACAUGCAAGUCGAACGAGUGGCGGACGGGUGAAUAAUGUCUGGGACACUGCCUGAUGGAGGGGGAUAACUACUGGAAACGGUAGCUAAUCCCGCAUUACAUCAGAUGUGCCCAGAUGGGAUUAGCUAGUAGGUGGGGUAAAGGCUCACCUAGGCUACGAUCCCUAGCUGGUCUGAGAGGAUGACCAGGCACACUGGAACUGAGACACGGUCCAGACUCCGACUUGAAGCAGCAGUGUGGAAUAUUGCCCAAUGGGAGAAAGCCUGAGCAGCCAUGCCGCGUGUAUGAAGAAGGCCUUCGGGUUGUAAAGUACUUUCAGCGGGGAGGCGUUACCCGCAGAAGAAGCACCGGCUAACUCCGUGCCAGCAGCCGCGGUAAUAC
rnacentral:rRNA from 1 species